GACGUAGGUGGCGAACGUUAUCCGGAAUUAUUGGGCGUAAAGGGUGCGUAGAUGGUGUGGUAAGUUAUCAGUGGUAAAUCGAGGCUCAACCUCGUGGAAGCUGGUAAUAUUAUUAUACUAGAGUGCAGGAGAGGUUAACGGAACUCCAUGUGGAGCGGUAAAAUGCGUAGAUAUAUGGAAGAACAUCAAUAACGGCGAAGGCAGUUAACUAUUCUGUUACUGACAUUGAGGCACGAAAGCGUGGGGAGCAAAACGG
rnacentral:rRNA from 1 species